rnacentral:snRNA from 1 species
AGAGGAACACUUUCUCUGUCUGUCAGAACAAUAUGGAGAAGAUUAGCACAGCCCCUGCACAAGGAUGACACACCAAUUGGUGAAGCAUUCCAUAUUUUU